GGAGAGGUGCCCGGAGUGGUUGAUCGGGGACCAGCGAGAGGUCGGGUCCGUGAGGGUCCACGCAGGUUCGAAUCCUGCCUCUCCG
rnacentral:tRNA from 1 species